rnacentral:rRNA from 1 species
AUUGAACGCUGGCGGUAGGCCUAACACAUGCAAGUCGAGCGGAGCGGCAGACGGGUGCGGAAUGCCUAGGAAUCUGCAUGGUAGUGGUGGAUAACGUCCGGAAACGGGCGCUAAUACCGCAUACUAUCAGAAGAGCCUGGAUCGGAUUAGCUAGUUGGUGGGGUAAAGGCCUACCAAGGCGACGAUCCGUAACUGGUCUGAGAGGAUGAUCAGUCACACUGGAACUGAGACACGGCCCAGACUCCUACGGGAGGCAGCAGUGGGGAAUAUUGGACAAGGGGCGAAAGCCUGAUCCAGCCAUGCCGCGUGUGUGAAGAAGGCCUGCGGAUGGUAAAGCACUUUAAGUUGGGAGGCGUUACCAACAGAAUAAGCACCGGCUAACUUCGUGCCAGCAGCCGCGGUAAUAC